rnacentral:rRNA from 1 species
AUUGAACGCUGGCGGCAGGCCUAACACAUGCAAGUCGAACGAGUGGCGGACGGGUGAGUAAUGUCUGGGAAACUGCCUGGUGGAGGGGGAUAACUACUGGAAACGGUAGCUAAUACCGCAUACCAUCGGAUCUGCCCAGAUGGGAUUAGCUAGUUGGUGGGGUAAAGGCUCACCUAGGCAACGAUCCCUAGCUGGUCUGAGAGGAUGACCAGCCACAAUGGAAAUUGGACACGGUCCAGACUCCUACGGGAGGCAGCAGUGGGGAAUGUGGCACAAUGGGCGCAAGCCUGAUGCAGCCAUGCCGCGUGUAUGAAGAAGGCCUUCGGGUUGUAAAGUACUUUCAGCAGGGAAGCGGUACCCGCAGAAGAAGCACCGGCUAACUCCGUGCCAGCAGCCGCGGUAAUAC